rnacentral:rRNA from 1 species
UACAGAGGUCUCAAGCGUUGUUCGGAUUCAUUGGGCGUAAAGGGUGCGUAGGUGGUGGGGUAAGUCGGAUGUGAAAUCCCGGGGCUCAACCCCGGAACUGCAUUCGAUACUGCCUUGCUCGAGUACUGGAGAGGAGACUGGAAUUUACGGUGUAGCAGUGAAAUGCGUAGAUAUCGUUUGGAACGCCGAUGGUGAAAACAGGUCGCUGGGGUUGUGCUGACGCUGAGACACGAAAGCCAGGGGAGCGAACGGG